UACGUAGGGGGCAAGCGUUGUCCGGAUUUAUUGGGCGUAAAGAGCGUGUAGGCGGCUUUACAGGUCCGUUGUGAAAACUCGAGGCUCAACCUCGAGACGCCGGUGGAAACCGUAAAGCUAGAGUCCGGAAGAGGAGAGUGGAAUUCCUGGUGUAGCGGUGAAAUGCGCAGAUAUCAGGAGGAACACCCGUGGCGAAAGCGGCUCUCUGGGACGGUACUGACGCUGAGGAGCGAAAGCGUGGGGAGCAAACGGG
rnacentral:rRNA from 1 species